rnacentral:rRNA from 1 species
UACAGAGGAGGCAAGCGUUGUUCGGAAUUACUGGGCGUAAAGCGCGUGUAGGCGGCUCUUCAAGUCAGACGUGAAAGCCCCGGGCUUAACUCGGGAACUGCGUUUGAUACUGUCGAGCUAGAGUGUGGAAGGGGCGAUUGGAAUUCCGUGUGUAGCGGUGAAAUGCGUAGAUAUACGGAGGAACACCAGAGGCGAAGGCGGAUCGCUGGGCCAACACUGACGCUGAGACGCGAAAGCUAGGGGAGCAAACGGG